GACGAACGCUGGCGGCGUGCUUAACACAUGCAAGUCGAACGGAAAGGCCCUGCUUUUGUGGGGUGCUCGAGUGGCGAACGGGUGAGUAACACGUGAGUAACCUGCCCUUGACUUUGGGAUAACUUCAGGAAACUGGGGCUAAUACCGGAUAGGAGCUCCUGCUGCAUGGUGGGGGUUGGAAAGUUUCGGCGGUUGGGGAUGGACUCGCGGCUUUUCAGCUUGUUGGUGGGGUAGUGGCUUACCAAGGCUUUGACGGGUAGCCGGCCUGGGAGGGUGACCGGCCACAUUGGGACUGAGGUAGGGCCCAGACGCGUACGGGAGGCAACAGGGGGGAGUAUUGCACAAUGGGCGGGAGCCUGAUGCAGCGACGCCGCGUGCGGGAUGACGGCCUUCGGGUUGUAAACCGCUUUCGCCUGUGACGAAGCGUGAGUGACGGUAAUGAGUAAAGAAGCACCGGCUAACUACGUG
rnacentral:rRNA from 1 species